rnacentral:tRNA from 1 species
GCCGGGAUAGCUCAGUUGGUAGAGCAAGGGAUUGAAAAUCCCUGUGUCGCCAGUUCAAGUCUGGCUCUUGGCA